CUACGGGUGGCUGCAGUCGAGAAUCUUCCGCAAUGGACGAAAGUCUGACGGAGCGACGCCGCGUGCGGGAUGAAGGCCUUCGGGUUGUAAACCGCUGUCAGUGGGGAGGAAAUGCAUCAGGGUUCUCCCUGGUGUUUGACCGAUCCGCAGAGGAAGCGCAGGCUAAGUUCGUGCCAGCAGCCGCGGUAACACGAACUGCGCGAACGUUAUUCGGAAUCACUGGGCUUAAAGAGUUCGUAGGCGGCCUUUCAAGUCGGGUGUGAAAUCCCUCGGCUCAACCGAGGAAUUGUGCCUGAUACUGUUGGGCUUGAGGGGGAUAGGGGUGAGCGGAACUGAUGGCGGAGCGGUGAAAUGCGUUGAUAUCAGCAGGAACACCGGUGGCGAAGGCGGCUCACUGGAUCUCUUCUGACGCUGAGGAACGAAAGCUAGGGGAGCGAACGGGAUUAGAUACCCCCGUAGUC
rnacentral:rRNA from 1 species